rnacentral:misc_RNA from 1 species
AAGUCGUAACAAGGUUUCCGUAGGUGAACCUGCGGAAGGAUCAUUAACACGUAUCCAAACGAUAAACAACCCCGUGAACAUACAACCUGCUCUGGUCGCCCGCUCGCAUGGACAAGCCCAGUAAAUCAAGCCCCGGAAAGUUUUUGAUUUGGGACCUCUGUGCGCGUGAGAAAAACUGACAGCGAUUCAUAGAAGCGGUAGGUCAAGUGACACGGCGUCCCCACUUUAUUGCCUUGCCUGUAAGCAUCCAUACGGAUGGGCAGGCCCCCCGAACAACUGUUAACAAUGGAUAUCUUGGUUCUC